GACGAACGCUGGCGGCGUGCCUAAUACAUGCAAGUCAAGCGGAUUGAUGGGAGCUUGCUCCCUGAUAUCAGCGGCGGACGGGUGAGUAACACGUGGGCAACCUGCCUAUAAGACUGGGAUAACUUCGGGAAACCGGAGCUAAUACCGGAUAAUCCCUUUCCUCUCAUGAGGAAAGGCUGAAAGAUGGUUUACGCUAUCACUUAUAGAUGGGCCCGCGGCGCAUUAGCUAGUUGGUGAGGUAACGGCUCACCAAGGCAACGAUGCGUAGCCGACCUGAGAGGGUGAUCGGCCACACUGGGACUGAGACACGGCCCAGACUCCUACGGGAGGCAGCAGUAGGGAAUCUUCCGCAACGGGCGAAAGUCUGACGGAGCAACACCGCGUGAGUGAUGAAGGUUUUCGGAUCGUAAAACUCUGUUGUUAGGGAAGAACAAGUAUGAGAGUCACUGCUCGUACCUUGACGGUACCUAACCAGAAAGCCACGGCUAACUACGUGCCAGCCGCCGCCGUAA
rnacentral:rRNA from 1 species